ensembl:lncRNA
GGUGAUAAGGAUCUGAUGUUCUUUGGAGAUGGUAUCCUCCAGUUGUUGGAUCCUAGAGAUCAGGCACAACUCAGUGAAAUCACUGAUUGUGACCAUCUCGUGGUGGGUCUCCUCUUGGCUCUUUAUUAAAGCAGCCAGAGAAUCCCUCUGUGUCUUCAGCAGUUUGUGUUCUGCUUCCAACUGCUGCCAGGUCUGGUUGUUGACCGUGAGUUCAGCACUUUUGACAGAAAGUUGUUUUGUGGUCUCGGUGAGCUUCAGAGAUAAACCCUCGUUCUCCCUGAUAGUCUCAUCCAGAGCCUCUGUCUUGAUCUUCAGCAGUUUGUGUUCUGCUUCCAACUGUUGGUUGUUGGCCUGCUGCUUGUGCAGCUUCUCUUGAAGAGAAAUGUUGGUGGAGAGUAACCCUGUUACUUUAGACUCCAAUGACUGUUGUUGGUCAUCCAGUUUCUUGGUUGUCUUUUUCUCCAGAUCUUCAUAUUUCUGCUGCCAGGUCUGGUUGUUGACCGUGAGUUCAGCACUUUUGACAGAAAGUUGUUUUGUGGUCUCGGUGACCUUCAGAGAUAAACCCUCGUUCUCCCUGAUAAGGUCUGAAAACCUCUUUCUGUUCUUGUCAACCAUCUGCUCAUAGGCAAGAUCUUUGCCUUUUAACAUGUUGGUCAAUUCGAACUUCACAGUUUCAGUGUGAGCGGUGAGUUCGCUCACUUGCCUUUUCAGGCAGUGCACUUCAUUCCGUGCAUGAGAAAGUGCAAUGUUCACAUUGUAUCCGGUGGGAGGAGUCCCGAGAAGUGAAGCGCCAGCUCCAAUUCUCUGGUUGUUUCUACGGUACAUGUUAAAUGACACUUGUGUAGUCUUGAAAAAGACUGUUGGUCAGCCCUGAAAAGGGGUGUAGUCUUGAAAAAGACUUGUUUUAUUUGUCGCUAAAUGACUCGAUGUAACCUCUGAAAGAUGGUGAUGAAUCUUCCAAAAAACUACUUAAGUCUGUAAAGGACAAAUAUCGCAGAUACUUUCAAGAGAAAAUAUCCAACUGCACUCUUCUGGAACCAGAAACGCAAUGAUCUAGUGUUCCGAGACACAUCAAAGGAGUUGUUGAUGAUGUCACAAUUUGGAGUCCACUCUAUGACACGGGCUGCGUUUCCCUGACAACGGAAUGCAAAAUACAACAAAACUCACUUUGUGUGGUUUUUAUACAUACACAACGUGAUGAUGCCGAUAUAUAAAGUCUCAUUCACCUCUGUUUCUUCCUGCACCGUGAUGCCCAUUUCUGAACCACGUUUUGGAUGAAGAAGCACUGAUAUUGAGUGAUACAGAUCAGACCAGCAUGAAGCACCUCACCAUCCCUUACACAUGCUCCGUAUGGCGCGGCAUGUCUUUAUAUGCCGAACCUGUAAAUAAAGGCACUAUUUGCCGUACUGUCAGAAGUGUGUGUUUGGCGCUGAAGUCCAUCUUUAUUACCUUCCCUGGCCCCAGAAGAAUGUGUCACAUCAAAGAAGAUUUCCACAAGACACUCCACAUAUUCCGUGUAAAUGGGUGAUUGUGUUUGAUGUUGUGAGAUGCAUGUAAUGGUAAAAUAUGUUAAAACAUUGUCUUGCGCUAAACCCGGGUCUCAAGUGUAUUUGAGCCUGACGUGCAAAGAGCAGCAAAUACUACACACACUGUUAUAGUGUAAAUACUGUAAAUACUACACACACUGUUAUAGUGUAAAUACUACACACACUGUUAUAGUGUAAAUACUGUAAAUACUACACACACUGUUAUAGUGUAAAUACUACACACACUGUUAUAGUGUAAACACUGUAAAUACUACACACACUGUUAUAGUGUAAAUACUACACACACUGUUAUAGUGUAAAUACUGUAAAUACUACACACACUGUUAUAGUGUAAAUACUACACACACUUUUCUACAUUAGACACAGACAUUUUGAAUUAUGUCACUUUAUUGCCUUUUUUAGACGCUGCCUUGAAAAUAGCCGCACAUGAACACAUUGAUCAAACCGGGUCGGGUGUGUGAUGGUAAACAUGCCAAUCAGGUGUAAACACUUUACAAAGGCAGCGGCAAAAUUGCCAGUGUCAAUACAACACUUAAAGAGUCAAUUUUAACACUACCUCAGUGAACAUAUGGUCCCUAUCGACACAGAGUGUAAAAUGUACACUGAACACAGAGUUAAAUUUCCAGAGUCAAUUUUACUCUGGUAAGAGUUAAAAUGUGACACUAGGUGCAGUGUAGUGUAAUAAUAUUAACUCUAAGAAGUGUCAAUCAAGUUUUACACUAUGUAAGAAGUAACACCCAUAGUGUUAUUCACAUGUAACACUAAAUAGUUAUAAAAGAAAUAACCUUUCCAGUGUUAAACCUACUUUACACUAUGUUGAUUAUGAAAUCACUCCAAAGAGUGUUGAUUUUUAACCAACUCCUACCAGUGUUGCAUAUCUAUGCAGGGGGAAAAACACACAGACAAUUGUAUCCAUACUGUAAUACAUAUUUAUUCCAAGUAAACAUGAAAUAUUGGCAUCAAAAGUAAACCUAAAACAUGUAAAGCUCACAUCUUAUCACAGUGGCAAAGAUCUUGGUUGGUGCUGGAUGACAGGAAUGUUUUGAUCAACAUGAUGGUAUCUGCAAAGACAGCAAACUGAAAUCAACAUUAUGGUCUACAACCCCAUACAAGCUGACAACCUGAAAAUACCCUAUUUCAGCUUUAAAAAUCACAAACACAACUACAUUUUCGGUCAAGUACAUCAACUUAUUACUUACCACCAGAGCACCACAGUACAUUAAAGAACAAUCUGAAAGAAAAAAGAAAAUAUACAUAUUAAGUAACUACGUAACUACGUAGACCCCUCCGCCGUAGCCUGACGUGCACCUCCGAAAAGAUCAAACUGCGAGUCGAGUUGACGUAGACCGCAAGUGCUGUGAUUGGUCCGCUCAGAACGUAAUUUGCGGCAGUUGCUGACAUUCGAAAGUAUCGAAAGUGCACUUGCUCGUCCAGGUCCCUCAGUGGGUGAACCAGUGUUGUAAAUUCACGCUUCUCCGUAGCCUGCGCUUCAAUAUGAGCUUCGGCUCACCAAGGAUUCGGCACCCGCAGAAACACACAGCCACACCCGCCGCCGCCGUAACGUGGAAGCAUAAAUUAAGCUUACAGCAGCUACAGCCAUAGACAUAAAGAAUAGACAUCGACCGCUGCUGCCUAGUGGUGCUGACGAGCCGCGGGGCCGCCAACUUGGACCGGUCACCCGCUCCACUCAGUGCCAGCUGGCGCAACGAAGUGUCAGCGCGUCACUCGCUGAAUACAAAAGCGGAUGUUCACGGGAUUUUGUAGGCAUGACACCGAAAACAUGAUUC